rnacentral:rRNA from 1 species
UUGAAAGGGAAACGAUUGAAGUCAGUCAUGCUGGUGGGAAUCAACUUAGGGGAAACUCUGGGUGCACUUCUUCGCUUGGCAGGUCAACGUCGAUUUUGAAUGUCAUAAAAUAAUUGGGGAAGGUAGCUCCUUCGGGAGUGUUAUAGCCCUUGAUAGAUGUGAUGUUUGAGGUCGAGGAUUGCAACGGAUACCUUUGGGGCUAGCUGCCUGAUCUCUAAUUGGUGUUGGGUUACGGACAGCAUGCUGACCGUGAUCUAAUUACUGGUUAAAAGGUUAGAGUGUGCAUAAAUUCGUUAAGGAUGUUGACGUA